CAAUGGUUCGGUUUUAGGUCUUUUGUUGUGUUAGUGUGUGUUGUGUUUUGUCUCGUGUUGUGAGUGUGAUGUUCUAUUUUGUGUGUUCGUCAUUGUGUGUUGCAUUUAGGUAGCUUUAGUUGCAUAUUUUCAUUGCAUUCUUCUUUUCCCCUUUCUUUCUACAUGUCUACCUAUUUUGGCUAUGUGAGUAAUUCUUAUUCUGCCUGUGUCUAUGAUUCUCCUCUUGCUUGUUACUUUGAUUGUGAUUCGCCUGCUGAUUUCUGUGUUGAGAACAGUAUGAUUCCUCCUCCAU
rnacentral:lncRNA from 1 species